ensembl:lncRNA
AUGCAUGUGCGUGUCUGUAUGUGCAUGUGUGUUUGUGUGUGUGCCUGUGUGUGUGCGUAUUUUCACAGGAAACUGAGUGGAAACUCCAUGGCAGGCAUGGUCCCUACUGGCUGGUCCACAGGGAAUGUGCAGCCACUGUUGAUAGAAAUACCCGCCAGAGCGAUGUUCCCAGGAGGCGUGAUAAUGCAGCAAUGGACAAGGACAGGAACAAGAGACAGUUUUACCAUCUUCCUACAAUUUGUAGAUGGGACAGUGGAAACAGAAGCCACAUUGGGGUUGGGCAUGCAGAGAUCUGGCCCUAAAUCGAUGUGAAUUUUGCCAAUUGCUUUUGCCUCACAGAGCUCUAGGUUCUUACCUGACAAACAGGAACCAGACCAUCAGAUCCAUAGAGAUUUAAUCAAUGGAGCCUUUGAAAACUUCACACGGCCUGUGUCAAUGCGAGGUUGCUGGAUGAUUAUGACAAGAAAUCACAUUGAAUUCACUGUGGUAACAUUGUGGUAACAUUGUUCAUGAAACGGGAUAAUGUGUUUCAGCGAUGAACCACCACGGUCUUACGACAGACAUAUUUCCACUUUGAAAAGGUGUGUGCGUGUAUGUGUCUGUGUGUGAUACAGUGAUUGGAAAGUAUAAAUGUGUGCGUUUUCAUUUUACACAUCUUACAUUUUCCUUUAAAUUGUGUGAAAGCCUGUUUUGUUUGUGACUUCCAUUCUUGGAGGUCCCAUGAGUUGUUAGUGGUGAAGAUGGAACAGAUGGAGACUCCUGCCCUCAGGGACUGACCACUGCAAACAUCCCUCUCUCAUCUGAUUCCACUGUUUCUUCCACAUGUACACAUCAUGAGAAAUAAUGUUCAAUCAAUAUAUUUCUUUAAAUCAACUCAUAUGCUUAUUUACAUGAAUUUACCUAAAACAGAAACUUGAUAUCACUUCUGUAAAUGAAAAAAUUAAACUUUCUGGCUAUAAAUAAAGUGUAACAAUAAUAAUCAUGCCAAAAAAUACCCCUCCAGUGUUAUGAAUUGAGGGUGUGGUGUGGGGGUGAAGACACUGCCUAACUCCUCCCCACUGUUGGGGAAUGAUAUCCAGCCUGUCACCCGCUGAUGGCAGGUUAUGUAGGAGAAGCAAAUCCAUUAAAAUAGAAGCACAGCUGCAUGCCCGUGAUUACUUCUCUAAUGUUAUUGUCUAGCUCUGCGCUUGAUCCUCCUCUGAUAAUACUCAAGAAAUAGAACAGCAAAGUUUGCUUGUUUUAAAUCUGGUAAUUAAUGUCUGUUUUGCUUACAUUAAUGGUUUCUCGUGGGAAGGAUGCAUGCAUUAUUAAAUGUUGCUUAAGGAAAAAAAGUCUUGUGUUGGUUAACAAUUUUUGACUACAAAUAAUAGAAAACGAUACGAAGGCUGGCUUCAGUAGAAAAGUAAUUUAUACUUCCCAUAAAUAAUAAGCCGGGGGUAGCAUGGCCAAUUUAUCCAGUAGUCUCAACAGCCACCAUGCCUGAGGCCCGUUGUACUAUUAAAAGGUUCAUGAAAAUAUUUUUAUUUUAAUUUAUUUUAAAAUUAGAAGAAAAAUCACUAUAAUAAUCUUUUAAUAGGGUGGGAAUCCACAGAGCAAAAGCUUCUGAGGCACCCAAAGUCAUAACAUAGCCCUGAGGGGUAGGCCUGCCUUCAGCCUUCAUUUGCUAUCAAGAACACACCAAACUCCUUUGACUUCCCCCUGCUCUCCCUUCUUUUUUAUAUCAUGCUGUUGACACUUAAAAAUAGGCUUUUCCUUCGCCUCCUACCAUCAUGUACUCUGUUCACCCCAUCUAGCUCCCUGCUCUCUUAUUUCCCCGUGCUCCAAGGCUGUGUGUGCAGCAGGAUCUCUGCCCUGG